CCAUGGUGCACAGGGGGCAGUAUGUGGCCUCUCCAAAGUCCUGCCCUUCCUUGCAACACUUCUGCUGCAGAUGGGUCUUUCUACAUCUGCUAAGGAGGAGGGAAAAUUUUAUCCUGGGAGGAAAAAGCCCUCUGCUGUUCUAAAUGCAAUAUCUGACCCCCACUGAUCUCAACCUCAGAAAGGAAGAACAUCAUACACUGACUGUUGGAAACUAAGAAUAUUUACCUUGGGUCCGCUCAGAGUUCUUAAGCACAGAUGUCUGAUUAUAAGAAGUCAGAGGGAGCUACAGUAUUCCGUCACUCACAAUUGUACAGCACCAACAGUGUUAGGUGUUCCCACAGUAUGUUACACAGGUGAUUCCAUGGGAGCAGAUGAAAAAUUUUAAGAGCGAGGGACAUGGUGACAGUUGCAUCAUCAAAGCAUCAGGCUCAUCAUGCACCUUGUACAUCCAACAUUUUGUUGAUGCCUUUGCACUGGAAACAAAACAGCACCAUAUAUUACCAGAAAUGCUUUAUUACACAUGCAGUCAGGAACAACGCCUUACAGUGCCUCAGUUCAGAGUUGCAGUAAAUUACCUGAUUUGCCUCUUUUACAAGGGACAAGUGUCUUCCCAGAGACAUCAUAAACCAGUUAAAUGAUUGGAGGGAUUUAUUUUAACUUUGGGAGACUUGAUAGUCACAAAAAAAAAAAAAAAAAGAGGUUACUCACUCUUGCUAGCCCUGGAGUUCACAUCUGCUGGCUGUUGUAGCUAUUGUUUGCAUGGAUUGGGACCUUCUCUGCUCCCCUCUGGCUUGUUCCUUUGAAUGAGCGUAAGGGGAUCUAACUACUUUGUUAACCUUUUCUUAUUGUGGCUGAAAACCUUCCAGUAACAGACAAGCUACAACACAGAUGGUUUAAACAGUUGUAUCCUUCAGCAUCCCCAUGUAUAAGGUCCUAUCCCCUUGGGUAGUGCUAAGGGCUAUACAUUUGUAGAGUCCAGAAGCACAAUAUCACCAGAAAUAGAUACAAUUAAUGCCAAGCCAUCAUGAAAAUGUUCCCAAUUAGCUAAAUUCAAUACAGCUUUAAAGAAAUUAUAUCAAAAUUAAACCUUUAGUUGUAACAGUUGAGCUCAAGAGCAUUGGUAGGAAGGAAGGAUUUGUAGAGACAACUGGCACUUAUGCAACUGGAACUGAGAAACUAUAGCCAUUUCUUCUUACAAAAGAUACAGGGCCAGAUUCCUACCUUUCCCCAUUCUAGAUGUUUCCAUUUAUAGAGGGAUUUCCCUCUGUGACACAGAGCUAGCAUAGCACAAGGGCCAUGUCAAGGACUGGACCAAAGGAAAGGGGGUGUGGUCAGAGUGCCAAUGUGCUUGGGCAAUCCUUGGCUUGCGGCCUGUUGCAGCAGGGCACAACUUAAUCUUCAUUCCUGUAGCCAUGACAUUAGUCUCCAUAGCUGUCACCAAAAGCUACAUGUGCAGAGGCUACAGGGCAGGGAACACUUCUUAAUUACGUAUGUAACUGUCACAUAAACAGCAUUGCUGUCAGGCUGGAUGCACCACAGGGUUUUUAAGACUGCUCUGUAUUAGAGUAUGUUAUUGAGCCAUCAAGUAGAACAAAAAUAUGCAAAUAGCCUUAGUUUAUAACGAGCAAGUGUAUUGUUUUGAACACUAGCAUUCUCCCAGGAUUUUAUGCUACAGCCCCUUAUUUAUUGUCUUCAACAAAUAAGACUUAUAAACAAUUUUUGUGAAAGUGGAGACUUUGUGCUUAU